UGGAAAUCUAUGGUCAAAACCUGCCACCAAACGAGCUCUUCUCUAGGACAAUGCCUGGCGCACAUUCAGAAGUGAAAACCUAAAACCCAUUUUCUCCCUACUGCCCACCAGGAAACAGAAGGGAUGUUUACCUAGAGUUGCAGUCAUUGCCAGGGACACAGAGGGUGUGCAGUGAGCACCCAGCACUGCUGACCCAGGCUGCUAACCAGCUAGGCAGCACUCCAGGUGACAUGUGGCAGAAGGGCCUUUCUGAGACUUUUCCCAGCCGGGGCACGCAGAGGAGAAGAGCCAGGGAUGACGGAGCAGACCAGAGGACCACUUGCGGUUGAUUCCCAGCAGGAUCAGAGCAAUACAAUAUAGAUUCUGGCUACCCAAGGCUGCCCAACGAUUUCUGCCCAGAGUGGCACUAUAUCACUUCCAAGUUCCCUUCUCACUGGAAGAGCCUCUGGCUCUAUAACACUGGCCUGAGAGAAACAAACCACUGGUCCAUCAACUUUGACCUCUAACAAGCAACUCAGAGCUUUUCCGUCUUUCAGCAUCCCUAAAACAAAGACCUUUCCCUGGGACAUUUGGAAUGCGCAUCUGUAAAAUGGGAAUGGGCUUGUCCAAGGUGACUGGUCCUGACCCUCGAGGUCAGGACACAUCAAAAAUUUCAUUUUCUACAUCAGAGGAUUCCAAACACUUGGAGGCCUACAUAACUUAGAAUUCCAUCUGGCUGGUCUUCUUAUAAAUAGGGUUUAUGUGCUGAGCAUUUAUGCUAAGCACUUUAUUUAAUACUAACAUUGACUCUCUGAGGAAGGCACUAUUAACCUCCUUUUAUAUAUAAGGAAGCUCAGACUCAGAGAAAUUAAGUGACUUGCCAAAGGCCAACAGCCAGUGACGGAUAGAAGUAAGAACUGAAUCUAGGCUGGCCCUAACCCCGGUAUUCUUCUGCAGAGACCACCUACCUUUGUGGGGAAAUGCCUUUUCUUGCAGAAGUUGCUGGAAGCUCACUGAGGGAAGGGGUCGCAUUUCACCAAAUCCAGUGAAAUCAGGAGCUCUGUGUUCAUCCCUGCCUCCACCUCUCACCAGCUCUGUGAGCCUGACCUGUGAUUUGACCUGUCUGAGCAAGGAAGCCAUGUGAUUUACAGUCCAGACCAGGAUGUAUCUGAGAAUGAGAGGAAGCACUAAUCAGACAGGACACUGGGAGAACAGACAAACCGGGACUGUCCUAUGAAAAUGGAGACAUGGUCACAAAGCCUCGCACACUCAGUUGCAAAAUGAGGAGUUUGGAUGAAACCUCAAGGUCAUCUCCUUGUGAAAAAGGGAAGGUAUAUGCAUCUGGACAGCUCACCAGGAAUACAAAACGGGGACUGUGGAAGGCCAAAUGAGUACACAGAAAGCAAAUGUUUUAGCAGGAGUGCAUUUGUUCAUGUAUUGCUUAAAUUCUGAAAAACAUGACAAAACACUUAAAAGAAAAGUCACUUCUAAUUUUCUAAUCUCACUGACUAUAACUCCCUUGGAGUUUAGUGCAUUUUCUCUCCUCAUUUUUACUUAUGUUUAAGAGAACACCGUUAGAUAUAAACAUACAUCUCUUUUUAAUCAAAAGAGAGUAAUAGUGUUCCACGCAUCAGCCUGCAAUAUGCUUUUCCUCAUGUCAGCUUUGCCUAGUAAGGUGAUAGCUGUAUUAUAUUCCACUGCAUGGAUGAAAUCAUACAUCUGACCAUUUCCCCUAUUUCCAAACAUUUAAAUUGUAACCAACUCUUUCACAAACCAACUAUUAACAAUGUCAUUAGAGCCUGGGCAUGGUGACUCAUGCCUGUAAUCUCAGGACUUUGGGAGGCCAUGGCAGAAGGAUCAUUUGAAGCCAAGGGUUUGAGACCAGCCUGGGCAACAAAGCAAAACCCCAUCACUAUAAAAGAAAAGUCAUUAUACAUAUAUCCUUAAACAUAUACAAUAUUGCUGAUAUUAUCUUAUGCUUAGGUGCUGGAUAAGAGCAUUUUCAAUUCUUACAGACCCAACUACACUACUCACCCAAAAGACUGUACCAAUUUACAUUCCCAUUCCCAUUCCCACUGACACUAUAUGAGUCUGCCCAUUUCCUCACACACUUAUCAGCAUCAAGUUGUUUUCAUUUUUCGCAAUCUGCUAGUUGAAAAUAUAUAUAUAAUAUUGUUUAAUUUACAUUUCUUUAAUAACUAGUGAGGUUGAGUAUCUUCUCAAAUGUCUCUCAGCACUGGUAUGUAUUCUGUAAAUUACCUGUUCAUACUUUUGCUCAUUUUGCUACAGGUUGUUGAUCUUUUGCUUUCUGCUUUUUAAGACCUCUUUGUAUACUAAGAAUAUUAAUCCUUUAUAUGGUAUGCCAAUGUCUCC
rnacentral:lncRNA from 1 species